GGAAGGAUCAUUCCCAUCGCUAUGCUAUUAGCACCCCCAUAACGUUGAACUUUUCAUAACUUUGUAUUAAAAUAGUAUCUUUGUUAAAACCCCCCAAAAUAUAUUGUCAGUGGAUACCUUGGUUGUUGUUACGAUGAAGAACGCUGCAAAACGCGAUAUUUAAUGCGAAUUGCAUGAUUUAGUGAAUCAUCGAAAUUUUGAAUGCAUAUUGCGACGCGAAAGCGUCAUAUUCCCCUCAGUGUUUAUACUCAACGCAAACAUUUCUAAUGUGGUUGUGGCUGAGAUUUUGCGCAAGCGAUUUCGUGGGCUACGCUUUUUGGUGAAAGUUUCUUUCGUAAUUUGUAAUUUGUUGAGCUUCAUGGGCAUAUUAUUAUAUUACUUAGGAUACUAGUAAUCAAAAAACCUGGUGAUUUAUGGUGAAAAGUUUAUUUGUAAUUUUGUAAAAAUUUUGGCUAAGACCCAGGGUUUUUAUGAUUUGACUUAUAAUCCUAGUAAUCAUAAAACACUAUGUGUUUUGUAUUUGCACCUGUAGGGGAAUACGAUUACCCGCUGAGUUUAAGCAUAUUCGUAAGCGGAGGAAAAAAAUCCAAAAGGGAUUCCCUUAGUAACUGCGAGUGAACAGGGUUACGUUCAUGCUUGUAAUUUUUGAUUUUUUAAAUCGAAAAGUUGUGGUAUUUGGAAAUAUUCUCUAGGAAAGGUAGAUGGUAAAGUUGUUUGGAAGAACACUGUCACAGAGGGUGAAAAUCCCGUGUGGCCAUCAUAUCCUUUCCGUCCGAGGUAUUUUCUACGAGUCGGGUUGCUUGGGAAUGCAGCCUUAAGCAUGUGGUAAAUUUCAUAUAAAACAAAAUAAUAACAACAAACCGAUAGCGCACAAGUACCGUGAGGGAAAGGUGAAAAGAACUUUGAAAAGAGAGUUAAAAGCAUUUGAAACUGACAAUAUACAAGGGAUAGAAACUAUGUACCAAACGAUCACAUAAAAUGCGGAGUUUUCUGAUGAAUUUGAAUCUGAUGCUAUUUCGGUAGUUGGGUUCUUUUUCGUUAGUCUGUUCUGUAUUCUUUGUAGAUCUGGGUCAUUCUGUUGGGUAUAUCAUUUUGUCGAUUUUGUUUACUUUGUUCCUAUGAAUGUCUUCGAUAUUCUUGGUCUGAGGUUUUCAAAAGAGCAUUUUGUGUACCGAGGAACGAACAGGAUGUAAAAGUUUCUAUUCACCCGUCUUGAAACACGGACCAAGGAGUCGAAUACGCUUGCAAGUGUGGAAGUGAUAAACUUCAACGCGAAAUGAAAGUGAAGGGAUAUUUCGGUAUCCCGAGGUGUGAAACCGUUUAUACGGCGCCAGCACCGCCCCUAUCUUACAUUGUGAAGGUAUGGAGGAGCAGCAAGCGUGAUCGUACCCGAAAGAUGGUGAACUAUACCUGAGUAGAGUGAAGUCAGGGGAAACUCUGAUGGAAGCUCGCAGCGGUACUGACGUGCAAAUCGUUCGUCAAACUUGGGUAUAGGGGCGAAAGACUAAUCGAACCAUCUAGUAGCUGGUUCCCUC
rnacentral:misc_RNA from 1 species